CUUCAAACUAUUUAUAUACGAACAAAUUCAUGUUAUAUGGAAAAAGGUUUAUAAAAAAACUGGAUUUGACAAGAUGAUAAAAUAAAUAUCUUCAUUCGAUACUGCAUCUUGAUAGUAGUAGUAUUGAUGUUGUAGCGUCUGCAACAUUAUCCGAAGAGCCCCCAUCAUAACAUACGGGUUUGUUGUCUGGUUAUUUAUUUAAGAUGAAAUUGGCUAUUUUUGUUGUCAAUCUAUCCAUAUGGGUCUCACUUAUUAACUCUCAGGGCUUCCUUCCUUGUGAAACUGGUCCUCAAUGCUUGAAAAACCUAUUAACUUCAUCAGUUCGUUAUUCCUUUCAAAUAGAUAAAAUUUAUGACAAGUUCUCGGGCCAAACAGAAAAAAUAUAUGAUGAAGAUAUAAAGAAUUUACGCCAAUCCCUGGUUCGGAAAAGAAAAGAACAUGAAGAAGGAACUAAGGCAAUGCGAGAUGGAUUUCAGAUAACUAAAUCAAUUAACUCUAUUUCUUUGGAAUAAACAAAAAUUAUAAAUAACUUA
rnacentral:lncRNA from 1 species